rnacentral:rRNA from 1 species
GAUGAACGCUGGCGGCGUGCCUAAUACAUGCAAGUCGAGCGAACAGACGAGGAGCUUUCUCCUCUGACGUUAGCGGCGGUCGGGUGAGUAACACGUGGAUAACCUACCUAUAAGACUGGGAUAACUUCGGGAAACCGGAUCUAAUACCGGAUAACAUGUUGCACCGCAUUGUUCAACAGUUAUAGACGGUCUUUCUGUCUCUUAUAGAUUGAUCCGCGCCGCAUUAGAUAGUUGGUAAGGUAACGGCUUACCAAGGCAACGAUGCGUAGCCGACCUGAGAGGGAGAUCGGACACACGGGAAGAGAGACAGGGUCCAGACACCUACGGGAGGCAGCAGUAGGGAAUCUUACGCAAGGGGCGAAAGCAUGACGGAGCAACGCCGCGUGAGUGAAGAAGGUCUUCGGAUCGUAAAACUCUGUUAUUAGGGAAGAAAAAAAGUGUAAGUAACUAUGAACGUAUUGACGGUACCUAAAGAGAAAGCCACGGCUAACUACGUG